AUUUCCGAAUGGGGGAACCCAACAUGAGUUAUGUCAUGUUAUCGACAUGUGAAUUCAUAGCAUGUCAGAAGGCAGACCCGGAGAACUGAAACAUCUUAGUACCCGGAGGAAGAGAAAGAAAAAUCGAUACCCUGAGUAGCGGCGAGCGAAACGGGAAGAGCCCAAACCAACAAGCUUGCUUGUUGGGGUUGUAGGACACUCUAUACGGAGUUACAAAAGAACAUGUUAGACGAAUCAUCUGGAAAGAUGAAUCAAAG
rnacentral:rRNA from 1 species